UAAGUCUCCUGAAGGAACGUUAAAGACGAUGACGUUGAUAGGCCGGGUGUGUAAGCGCAGCGAUGCGUUGAGCUAACCGGUACUAAUGAACCGUGAGGCUUAACCUU
rnacentral:rRNA from 3 species